GCAUCGAUAGCUCAGUAGCAGAGCGGUGGGGCGUUUACCCAUGCGGCCCGGGUUCGAUUCCCCGGUCGAUGUA